UACGUAGGGCGCAAGCGUUGUCCGGAAUUAUUGGGCGUAAAGAGCUCGUAGGCGGUCUGUCGCGGCUGCCGUGAAAACCCGAGGCUUAACCUCGGGCUGGCGGUGGAUACGGGCAGACUAGAGGUAGGUAGGGGAGAAUGGAAUUCCCAGUGUAGCGGUGAAAUGCGCAGAUAUCGGGAGGAACACCGGUGGCGAAGGCGGUUCUCUGGGCCUUACCUGACGCUGAGGAGCGAAAGCGUGGGGAGCGAACAGG
rnacentral:rRNA from 1 species